AAGCAGGAUUCAGACUACAAUAUAGCUGUUACGUGCUGUGUUGUCAUUCUGGCUGCUCAAAAUACAGUUGUUUCUUGGGGCUGGGGAUUUAGCUC
ensembl:snoRNA SNORA63 Small nucleolar RNA SNORA63